UUCCAGAUGCAUUUAUUUAAUGACAUGUUUGAUUUGAUCAUAUUAUUAACUUUUAGAAUCAAGUGUCUCCUACUACGUCAAAAGUAGACAAUUCAUAGUUCAUAAUAAAAUAAUAUACAAAUAGACAAAUCUUCCCUACAUUUAUUCUGUACAGACAAUAACAGUCGAUUUCUCUCCGAGCGCCAGGAUAGAGGGAAAUAUAGACAAUGUUUCAAAUGUUUUAAAUACAAUUUUAGUUAAAAUGUGGAGUUGAAUUUAACCAUACUGUCCCGGAGUAGAUCUGUAUUGAAUGUUUCGACUGUUCAGUAGGUUUACUGUCCCGGAAUAGAUCUGUAUUGAAUGUUUCGACUGUUCAGUAGGUUUACUGUACCGGAUUAGAUCUGUAUUGAAUGUUACAACUGUUCAGUAGGUUUACUGUCCCGGAGUAGAUCUGUAUUGAAUGUUAUGACUGUUCAGUAGGUUUACUGUCCCGGAGUAGAUCUGUAUUGAAAGUUACGACUGUUCAGUAGGUUUACUGUCC
rnacentral:lncRNA from 1 species